GAAAGACACAAAGCCAUCUCUUAUGAGCUUAUUCAGUCCUCUGCAAAAAGAAAGGUCCUGGACAACGUGUUCCCUGCCAGCAACUCCACCCCCUAACAGAUGUUUAAUUGAACACCUACUAUAUGCCAGGAACAGCGGGGUAUAAGACCAAGCCCUCACUCUAAUGAAUUUGAGCCCUAGGAGGAGAGAAGCAGCAAGUCAACUACACGCAAGAGGUCACGCUGGCUGCUGGCUGUAGAAUGGGCCAGAGAGGGGCAGCGAGGAAACCAAACCAAUGAGCCACUGGACAUCAGUGAUCCAGGCAAGAAGGGAUGUGGCCUGCCCCCAGGGACAGUGUGAGAGAAAAUGCCCUGCACGGCUCAAGCCCCCAUAGACAGAGACUUCAACUCCACUCCCGGGAAAACCUUGGGAAAGGGCCACUUCCAGCCCAAGGGGGAGACAGACACCCCGCACUGCUGCACUCUCAGCUGGGUUCUCAGGCCCUCGCUCUCCUCCUUCCCAUGGUGGCUCUAACCUUGGGGGACAGGGCAGUGGGGGACUGUGCUGGAGCCCCGGGGUGGCUGGGGUGACUGAGGGUGUCAUCUGCCUGAGCUGGCCCUAGCCUGCUCUCCACCUGGUCUCAGCCAUCCUGCUGAUGCAUGGCCUCCUUCUGCCUAACAUCUGCAUUAGCGGGAGCAAGAAGACAAUAUAUGUAAGAACGAUCUUGGAAGAGCAGCCAGCACAUACCUGCCAACUGAUUCUGGUUGUAGGGGACGAAGGAUGAAGGGGUGAAGGAUGCCUGUGAGGUUUGGGGCCUAAAUAAGCAGAUGCCUGGAUGGCCAUUUACUGAGACAAGGAAGAUGGGCGGACACUGGUUUGCAGGGAAGUCCAAGAGUUCUUUCCAUCCAGGGCUGACCUCCAAGUGCAGAUGUGUAGUGGGCAGCUGGAGGAAGAACCCCAGGCAGGUGCCCAGGCCUCCUGCUGUCCACCCCAGAGGCCGCCAACCCUCCUUCCUUCCCUGUCUCCUUCUCCAUUCCCACCCUGAGCCCCGUCCCCACCCUCAACUCACCGUCUCUCCCACUGUGACAAGAGUUACACAAGGACUGGAGGCAGCUUUGAAACUGUUUCCUCUCAUGAACUUAAUUUAAAAGUAAUUAAUUUUUUUAAAAGCCACUGGCUCAGUUAUAGAGAGACCCACUGGAUUCAGGAGAGGGUGAGCCUGGCGCCAGCCAGCUGUGUGGCAAGGCAUCUUCUCCCUGGCGCUCCCAUCUGGUGCCUCCAGCCUUAACGAAGUGGCAGUGAUGCCAGAUGGUGUUAAUUCACACACUUACAGUGGAUCAGGCCCUCCACUCCAUGCAUGUUAUCUUAUCCUCCCAGCGACCCUGGGGGGUAAGUAAAUACUGUUAUCCCCAUUUUUCAGAUGAGAUAACUGAGGCUUGGAGGUUUUCAUGAAAAACUAACCCAAGAUCUUACAGAUAACAAGUGAUAGAGAUGAGACUACAAUCCACGUCUGUUGCCUCUGGCACCCUGUGCUCCAACCUCACAAUCCACAGCAAGCCUGUCCUCUCCACUCUGAUCUGGGCACCUCAGGCCUACAGAGCAGCCACACACAGGGUGGUGGCUGAUGUCUGCUCCCAGGUCUGCACUUCUCAGCUGAGGAAAUUCCACCACUGCCACCAGCACACAGAGAAACCAGAGCUCCAUCCACAAGCACAGCUGUGUGUCCUCGCCGGCUGCUCCUGGCCCUCUCUCUCAUCUCAACUCGUCCAUGGUUCCAGGAGGUGAGGAGAAGCUGGCAAGGCAGGGACAGAGCCCAAGAGUGCCUUGGGUGCGUCUCAGACACCUUUCCUCAAAACAGUCUGGUCCCAGAACCCAAGCAGGGCAGAUCGCAGGUCCUCAAGAUGGAGGCUAUGGUUGGAAGAGUGGAUUCUGGAUUCGGACUUGGAUCCUGAUUUCAGGAGUCUCCUGCACUCUUUAAACUUGGUUUGCUCAAAUGUGGAAUGAGGAUAAUAACAGCACCUACCUCAUGGGGUUGGUGUGAGGCUGAAAUAAAAUGCUGCCUGUGGACAGCCUAGCACAGAGCCGGGAAAUAAGCUUCAGCUGUUAUCAUCUUAAAAAUUUUUUAAAAAGUACUGAAGAUCCUAGAAGCAGUGACAUCCCAAUAGCAAUAAACACACUAACACACAUGUUUUGUUUUCUAAAUACAUUCCCCACCACAUGAUGUCAGGGCUUUUUAGAGAAAUGGCCAAUUCCAGGCUAGGGAUAAGAAAACUAAUGGGUGGGCAUAGAGCAUUUUGCUGUUCCAGGGAGUAGAGAAGUGCUGAGAUGGAGGGAGACUCAUCAGAAGUUCAUCAGAGCCAGCUGGAGGGGCUGCUGACCAAACUUGAGACAAUAUGACCAUUAAAAUGGUGAUGAUGGUUAAUAGAUGAUACGACAUUGAACUUUAAAACAUCCACAAAUGGAUGUUUACCGCCUGGCCAACGUGGUAAAACCCCAUCUCUACUAAAAAUACAAAAUUUAGCUGGGCGUGAUGGCAGGUGCCUGUAAUCCCAGCUACUCAGGAGGCUGAGGCAGAAGAAUUGCUUGAACCUGGGAGGCGGAGGUUGCAGUGAGCCGAGAUUGCGCCACUGCAUUCCAGCCUGGGCGACAGAGCGAGACUUCAUCUCAAAAAAAAAAAAAAAAUCCACGAAUCUACAGUGGUGCCCAAAACAAAGCAAAGGGAUUGAAUUUUGCAGCCACCAACAUCAUAAAUGACUCAGGCAGGAUCAUCAGAUGCAAAAAGCAUUGCUGAAGGGUGCUGGGGAACAGGAGAUUCACGUGACCUUAAAGCAACACUCCACAUAUUUCUCAUCAGUUACAAAUGCAAAAGAUGUCAUUCCCCUGGAAGACUGAGCUGCCAUUACUUGCUAUCAAAGUUAGCGUCACCGAUAAUGGGGUGAGGUGUCACUGUGAACCUCUUGGGGUAUUUCUGUGGAGAGAGGAGGGAGGGUAAAAAGAGGGAAAAGGGAGAGAGAGAACAAAUGUGGCAAAAUGUUAAUUCAUGAAUCCAGACAAUGGAUAUAUUCAUUGUGCCAUUCUUUCAACUUUUCUGUAGGCUUAGAUUUUUUCAAAAUGAAGUCUGUGUGAAUGUGGGGGGAGUACUGGAGGGAGGUGAGACUUGGGGUGUGUUGGCCUGGGCUCGCCCUGACCUCUGUCCCAAGCACAGCCAGCUUGAAGCUUGGUGCUCUAGGAGUGACUUGAGAACUUCAGGGAGACAAGAAUUUCCGAGUCAAGAGAGGCCAAGUGUGGCAUCUUCCUACUGGAGGAAAUCUGUGACAUUCCCAAACACAGUUUCUUAGGAGCAGGGGAACUCACAGGACUACAGAACAGUGGCAGGCGAGGGCGGAAGUGCAUGGGCUGGGCAGAUAAGCCCGCGGCUGAUGGCCCACACUCCUGCAGAGCUGCUCAUGUUAUUCAAAGGGGCAUGGGCUCUAGAUCCUUGAGGAAUCGCCACACCAUCUUCCACAAUGGUUGAACUAAUUUACACUCCCAUCAACAGUGUAAAAGCGUUCCUAUUUCUCCAGAGCCUUGCCAGCACCCAUUGUUUCCUGACUUUUUAAUAAUUGCCAUUCUGACUGGAGCGAGAUGGUAUCUCAUUGUGGUUUUGAUUUGCAUUUCUCUAAUGACCAGUGAUGAUGAGCUUUUUUUCAUAUGUUUAUUGGCUGCAUAAAUGUCUUCUUUUGAGAAGUGUCUGUUCAUAGCCUUUGCCCACUUUUUGAUGGGGUUGUUUGUUUUUUUCUUGUAAAUGUGUUUAAGUUCCUUGUAGAUUCUGGAUACCAGACUUUUGUCAGAUGGGUGGACUGCAAAAAUUUUCUCCCAUUCUGUAGGUUGCCUGUUCACUCUGAUGGCAUACCCAAAGGAUGAUAAAUCACUCUACUAUAAAGACACAUGCACGUGUAUGUUUAUUGAAGCACUAUUUACAAUAGCAAAGACUUGGAACCCACCCAAAUGCCCAUCAACGAUAGACUGGAUAAAGAAAAUGUGGCACAUAUGGAAUACUAUUCAGCCAUAAAAAAGAAUGAGAUAAUGUCCUUUGCAGGGACAUGGAGAAGCUGGAAGCCAUCAUUCUCAGCAAACUAACACAGGAACAGAAAACCAAACACCGUAUGUUCUCACUCAUAAGUGGGAGUUGAACAAUCAGAACACAUGGACACAGGGAGGGGAACAUCACACACUAGGGCCUAUCGGGGGGUGGGGGGCAAGGGGAGGGAAAGCAUUAGGACAAAUACCUAAUGCGUGCAGGACUCAAAACCUAGAUGAGGGGUUGAAAGGUGCAGCAAACCACCAGGGCACAUGUAUACCUAUGUAACAAACCUGCACAUUUUGCACAUGUAUCCCAGAACUUAAAAUAAAAGAAAAAAAAAACAAAUACAAUGUACAAUACACUGUUGCUAACUCUUAAAAAAGUGGGGACAGCAUGGGCACUCUCUCUUCUCUUUCCUCCUCUCAGAGACUCUCUUCCACCCUCUGAGGUGGUGAAUGGUGUUGGUCCAUCGCUCAAUUCCGCUGCUUCUGCCGAAUCUUCUCAGUGCUGCUUGAUGUCCGGCCGCUCUCCCUCUCAACUGUGGCCCUUGGGUUUCAUGUCAUACCUGGGUCCCCGUCCUCCUCUAGGCUGAGAGGGUCUCCUUUGUUAACUAUCCUUACUCAUUCUGCUCUGCGAAUCUUUUUUAUUGAUACACAAUAAGUGCAUGUAUUUAUGGGGUACGUGUGCUGUUUUGAUGGAUGCCUAGACUGUGUGAUGAUCAUGUCG
rnacentral:lncRNA from 10 species